UUUAAUUCGAAGCAACGCGAAGAACCUUACCAGCUCUUGACAUCAUCUGACCACCCUAGAGAUAGGGCUUUCCCUUCGGGGACAGAUAGACAGGUGGUGCAUGGUUGUCGUCAGCUCGUGUCGUGAGAUGUUGGGUUAAGUCCCAUAACGAGCGCAACCCUUAUUGUUAGUUGCCAGCAUUCAGUUGGGCACUCUAGCGAGACUGCCGGUGAUAAACCGGAGGAAGGUGGGGAUGACGUCAAAUCAUCAUGCCCCUUAUGAGCUGGGCUACACACGUGCUACAAUGGACGGUACAACGAGUUGCGACCCCGCAAGGGUUAGCGAAUCUUUAUAAGCCGUUCUCAGUUCGGAUUGCUCUCUGCAACUCGAGAGCAUGAAGCCGGAAUCGCUAGUAAUCGCGGAUCAGAACGCCG
rnacentral:rRNA from 1 species